AAAGAGCAUCUUAAAAUAUUGCCCCAAGCAUUCAUACCUAAAUAAAUACCCCACCACAUUAGAAAAAAACCAGGGAACUCCUACUAUUGUAGGAGUUUCACUAUGUAGAACACAGUCCCAUUUACAAUGGAAAGCUAAGAUGCUCUUGAAAUAAGACAAUGGGUGAUGGGAAACGGAUCAAGAUCUCUGUUCUUAUCAUCUCUUCCCUCAGUUAGCAUUUAGACCCACUCCUAAAAUCCCGGGGUCUCCAUCACACAUUUGAAAACCCACUUCAAUGGCAGGGCCACUUGGCAAAGAUGGGGACCCUGUCAGCCUCUCCUGGGCUCAGGCUGUAGCAGUCCCGCUUGGCAACCCUCCUGAUUCUGUCUCUAAUCUCCUGGCCCGAGUGGCCAGAGAUGCAAGGUGUCAGAGGGGCCGGCACUCCACUGAUAAGAGUGCUAACCUGCGAACCGACGGCCAAGCCGUGAAUGUUUAGGUUAGGUUGAAUGGAAAAAAUAAUUGCCUGUCAAAACACUUAAUUGCAUUUGAGAAACCUUGUGUCCAUCUUUCUUGUUGACAGGGGUCCUCAGAUUUCUUUUCUUAGAUCCAGAACUCUCAGCUGAUACAGGCUUCAGUCCGUGUGAGCAAUGGACAAGCUGUCACUGCCCGUUACAUUUUGGAUGAUGCCACGAGACUCUUCUACGUUGGGGGAAAGUUGGCAUUGGAAAAAGGAGCAUCUGCUUUCCCUGAGGCCUGGAGUGACGCUGGCCCCAGCAGGUGCAUGCCAAGUUGCUGAAAACCCAGUGCUGAGCGACAGAAGGGACGCGGAUGCCCACGGGCUUUGUGACAGGGUUUUCCUCCGCGCUGGUAAAUCCCCAAGUUCACAUGCGACGAUUCUUGACCAAGGCGACGAUGGCCAGAUGUUGACAACAGAGAAAAAGUGGGUCCUGAUCUACUCUUGAAUGUCACCACAGAUGAAGAACAAUAGGACGGAUGGUUUCCAAAUUUUCCGAUAUGGUAGAAAAAAGUUCAGUCAUUUUCCAAGAACCUUUUGUUGGCGUCAGACUAACUGAAUUUUGGAACUAACUCUUCUGGGUAUUGUUACAAUGACCGCUUGAACCGUGAGGCCGCUUCUUGAAAAAUUUUUUCAAUGCUUAUUUAUUUUUGAGAGAGAGUGAGAGAGACAGAGUGUGCGCAGGGGAGGGACAGACAGAUAGGGAGACAGAAUCCAAAGCAGGCUCCAGGCUCUGAGCCGGCAGCACAGAGCCCGACACGGGACUCGAACCCAUGAUCUAUGAGAUCACGACCUGAGCCCAAGUCAGAUGCUUCACCAAAUGAGCCACCCAGGCGCCCCAUUUGCUUUGCUUUUAAACCGCUGUGACAAAAUCCGAGCGGACCGUGGAUGGACAACUGCAACCACAUUAAAGCCAAUUUAGGAUUGCUAAAAACAAUUGCAAAAUAAAUAUUGCCUUAACAAGAUUUAUUUCUAUCA
rnacentral:lncRNA from 1 species